rnacentral:rRNA from 1 species
UACGGAGGGGGCAAGCGUUGUCCGGAAUUACUGGGCGUAAAGCGUGCGCAGGCGGUCUGUUAAGACAGAUGUGAAAUCCCCGGGCUUAACCUGGGAACUGCAUUUGUGACUGGCAGGCUAGAGUAUGGCAGAGGGGGGUAGAAUUCCACGUGUAGCAGUGAAAUGCGUAGAGAUGUGGAGGAAUACCGAUGGCGAAGGCAGCCCCCUGGGCCAAUACUGACGCUCAUGCACGAAAGCGUGGGGAGCAAACAGG